CAGCAGCCGCGGUAAUACGAACCGUGCGAACGUUAUUCGGAAUCACUGGGCUAAAGCGCGUGUAGGUGGAUGGGAACGUCGGUCGUUGAAAUCCCCCGGCUUAACCGGGGAAGUGGCGCCGAUACGCCCCGUCUCGAGGAGCGUAGGGGGAGCUGGAACUUCCGGUGGAGCGGUGAAAUGCGUUGAGAUCGGAAGGAACGCCCGUGGCGAAAGCGAGCUCCUGGACGUUUUCUGACACUGAGACGCGAAAGCCAGGGGAGCGAACGGGAUUAGAUACCCGGGUAGUCCCUGUCUCUUAUAC
rnacentral:rRNA from 1 species